GGCUCAGUGAUUUUCUUGCUUUAAUUGCAGUAUACGCUAUUCCGAUUUAUUACCUGAGCGGAAAUUUAAUCGUGUAUGAGAGCC
rnacentral:snoRNA from 2 species